AACAAGGCGUACCUGCGGACCUGCGGAAGGAUCAUUAACCUUUCAAAAAACAGGGUGCGUCGCGGCCCCCCUCCGGGGGCGGUUUGGGGUCCUCCCCUUCACGCGCGCACGACUGCAUCCUUACUUUACGAGCACCUUCUGUUCUCCCUCGGCGGGGCAACCUGCCGUUGGAACCGAAUAAACCCUUUUUUGCAUCCAGCAUUACCCGUUCCGAAACAAACAAUCGUUACAACUUUCAGC
rnacentral:misc_RNA from 1 species